rnacentral:rRNA from 1 species
GUGAGGAAUAUUGGGCAAUGGGCGCAAGCCUGACCCAGCAACGCCGCGUGAAGGAAGAAGGCUUUCGGGUUGUAAACUUCUUUUAAGAGGGAAGAGAAGAAGACGGUACCUCUUGAAUAAGCCACGGCUAACUACGUGCCAGCAGCCGCGGUAAUACGUAGGUGGCAAGCGUUGUCCGGAUUUACUGGGUGUAAAGGGCGUGCAGCCGGGAGGACAAGUCAGAUGUGAAAUCCACAGGCUCAACCUGUGAACUGCAUUUGAAACUGUUUUUCUUGAGUACCGGAGAGGUCAUCGGAAUUCCUUGUGUAGCGGUGAAAUGCGUAGAUAUAAGGAAGAACACCAGUGGCGAAGGCGGAUGACUGGACGGCAACUGACGGUGAGGCGCGAAAGCGUGGGGAGCAAACAGG